GAUUCGAUAGCUCAAUGGGUAGAGCGGCGGUCUAGAUACUCGAAGAUGCGAGUUCAAAUCGCGCUCGAGCCA
rnacentral:tRNA from 1 species